GUCAACGGUCAUACCGCGCAUGUACCUACCGGUUCUCGUCUGAUCACCGAAGUCAAGAUGCGUUGGGCACGGUGUUAGUACUUAGAUGGGUGACCGCUUGGGAACUCCGUGUACUGUUAGCA
rnacentral:rRNA from 1 species